AUUGAACGCUGGCGGCAUGCCUUACACAUGCAAGUCGAACGGCAGCGGGGGAGAAGCUUGCUUUUCCUGCCGGCGAGUGGCGAACGGGUGAGUAAUACAUCGGAACGUGCCCUGUAGUGGGGGAUAACUAGUCGAAAGAUUAGCUAAUACCGCAUACGACCUGAGGGUGAAAGUGGGGGACCGCAAGGCCUCAUGCUAUAGGAGCGGCCGAUGUCUGAUUAGCUAGUUGGUGGGGUAAAGGCCUACCAAGGCGACGAUCAGUAGAUGGUCUGCGAGGACGAUCAGCCACACUGGGACUACGACACGGCCCAGACUCCUACGGGAGGGAGCAGUGGGGAAUUUUGAACAAUGGGCGAAAGCCUGAUCCAGCAAUGCCGCGUGUGUGAAGAAGGCUUUCGGGCUGUAAAGCACUUUUGUCCGGAAAGAAAUGGCUCUGGUUAAUACCUGGGGUCGAUGACGGUACCGGAAGAAUAAGGACCGGCUAACUACGUGCCAGCAGCCGCCGUAA
rnacentral:rRNA from 1 species